UCUGGCCAAUGACAACUGGGCACGCCUCCUACCGCUCAAAUUUGAAUUUACACACCAGUCCGUUGCUGCUCUGUUUAUCUGCAGUCCUGCUCCGUUCAGUGCAGUAGUAAUGGCUUUUACAUGGAUUAUCACAUCUGACAGAUGAAUUCUUAUUUUGACCGAUUUUGAGUUAUGCGGUGCAGAUUGAGAACGAAAAAGCGCAAAUAUGAACACAGACACAAUGGCUAAUGGACACAUAUUGCAAACGGCAGAAGAGAGGACAUGAAACCACCAUUCUUGGACUCUGAAGAAUACUAUGCAAACCAUGCUUUUGGAUCUACUGUUAAGUUUUUGUAAUAAAGCUGAGGUUUUGGGAUUGAAAAUCUUCUGCCACAUGAUCUUCCGUAAAAAUGCAGCAAGGAUCCAGCUGAUUACUUCAGAUUUGGUGGACUGCUCUUUAUCUGCUGUGACUGUCACUUCUGGUGCAGAAUCAUGGACCUUUAUUUGUAUGUUUUGAUUUUACUUAUUACACUUGUGUAGCUAGUAUUCAGGAUUAAAAUACAAUGUAAUUUUGUCCACAUAUAUUAUCAGAGCUAUAUGGAA